GUCACCGCGAACGUCAGUAGUUACCCCGCCCUUGCCGUCGCCGCCCUCCGGUGCUUAAAAGGCUCCAAUUUACACUGAGAUACUGCAGCCAGUUCCUCCAAAACAGAGAGCAAAAGCAGUAACUGCAUUCAUUCAAGAGAUGCUCCGUUCAUGGUAAAGUUGAGGAAAGGAACUCACAAUACUAACACAGCCUCUGGAAUCAGACCACUUAGGUUAAAAUCCUAGCUUGACCACUUACCAUCUGAAUGCUCUCCAGCAAGUUAUUUCAAUUCUUGGGUCUCAAUUUCCUCAUCUGUAAUAAUAGUAUUUACCUCAGAGGAUGAUUGUGAAGAAUUAAUGAGUUAACAUUUGCAAACAAAUCAGAGAACUCCAGGGCUGCAUCCUUCCGCAGAAGCAACUAAUGAGCUGACAAAAACU